ACUGAAUGUGGGUGUCUCCCCCAAAUUUGUAUGUUCAAGACCUCACUCUAAUGUGGCUGUAUUUGGAGAUGGGGCCUCUAAGGAAGUAACUAAGAUGAAAUGGGUUCGUGAGGAUGGGCACUGAUUCAACAGGAUUAGUGUUCUUAUGAGGACAGACACCAGAGUUCUCCCUCUCACUUUCUUCCCACACGCAUGCACUGAGGAAAGUCUGUGUGAGGACACAGCAAGGAGGCUGCCGUCCACAAGCUGAGAAGAGAGCCCUCACAAGAGAUGGAAUUGACUGGAGCCUCAGUCUUGGACUUUCAGCCUCCAGAACAGAGAAAAUAAAUGUGUGAUGUUAAGCCACCCACUCUGUGGUGUUUUGUUAUGGCAGCCCACACUAAUACAGGCAGUGAUGGAAUAUCUCGUGAGGAAGUGACGUUUGAACACAUCUGAAAGAAAGUGUAGAAGGCAGCCAAGGGCAUCUGAGGUAAGGACAUUUUAAGACAGAGGAACCAGUCAUUGCAAAGAGCCUGAGGCAGUAGUGUACCAGGUGGGGUGAGGAACACAGGGAGGCUG
rnacentral:lncRNA from 10 species